rnacentral:lncRNA from 1 species
GUAACGUGCUUGUUAGGGACACUUUUUAAACACUGAGAUGUAAAAAGAAUAUAUUACACAUCACUUUGAAUUCACUGUGAAGCUGAUAUGCAUAUUUUUAAACAAAAAUGGAGUCAGAGUACUCAAUAGAGCUAGCCUGAAAUAGAAAAUGAAAUUAAGUCAAUGAAAGAAAAUAAUACAGCAAAUUUUGAAGAGUAGCAAUUUCAAGUUAGAAAGCAGCUCCAUCUAGUUUUUUUUUUCAAUUCUGCCACUCUAAAAAUUCAAAGCAUCAUUUUGUAAUUAUGUAGAAUAAUAUCUACCUUCCAAAUUACCUCUGACAUUGUGUUAUCUGCAUAUAGAAAGGUGGUUUUAGUUUAUUUUCUCCUUGUCAUUAUUUGUUUAUUUAUCUGUUUGACUUUAAAAUAUGCAUUUUCUUCUUUGGAAUUGAAUAGGGAACACAAAAUUUUGGCAAACUAUUUUUCAGAAGGAUUCAAUGGCUCUGCCUAAGUAUGUCCUGUCUUGUCUUUCUUAUUUUAAUGUAACCAAUGGAAAAACUGACUUUCGGAUGUGUGACCAUAUGUAAAAGUGCUACAUGUAAGCAUCCUCACAGUCAGGAUGCAGACAAUGCUAUCACCCUGCCCAGAAUCCCUGUCCUACCUCUUAAGAGUGACACUCCUUUCCCCCUCACCCCACUUCCUGCCCCCCAGCUCCUGGCAACACAGCAACUCUUCUUCAGGGAUCUCUCCAUUUUCUCUGGAUGUUACAUAAAUCAUACAGCAUGGAACCUUUGGAGAUUGGCUUCUUUGGCUCCCUGAGACCCAUUCAUGUUGCUGCAU